rnacentral:misc_RNA from 1 species
UACGUGUGGACCAAGCGUUGUUCGGAAUUACUGGGCUUAAAGGGUGCGUAGGUGGCGAGGCAAGUCAGUGGUGAAAGUCAACUGCCCAACGGUUGAAUUGCCAUUGAUACUGCCUGGCUCGAGUGUGCUAGGGGGAUGCGGAACGAGUGGUGUAGCGGUGAAAUGCGUAGAUAUCACUCGGAAGGCCAGAGGCGAAGGCGGCAUCCUGGGGCACAACUGACACUGAGGCACGAAAGCGUGGGGAGCAAACAGG